rnacentral:rRNA from 1 species
CACGCCCUAAACGAUGUCAACUAGUUGUUGGGGAUUCAUUUCCUUAGUAACGUAGCUAACGCGUGAAGUUGACCGCCUGGGGAGUNACGCGAAAAACCUUACCUACCCUUGACAUGGUCGGAAUCCCGCUGAGAGGUGGGAGUGCUCGAAAGAGAACCGGCGCACAGGUGC